GUGAUUUUUUGUAAUUUACUUUUUGAUUUAAAGGCGAACUCGGCAUUUUAUUUUUUUAGUAGGACUCGGCCCUUUUAUCUUUCUGGGGGAACUUACUAGUCCCAAACCGCCUCAUGGGGUGAUUUUCUGUGGAUUGUCGGGUUAAAAUUAAACGGUUUUUAAAAGCCUAUGCGUUUUCUCGGGCCAAUACUUUGGGCCUCAAUCAUCGGCUGGCUGAUUGGCCUUCUCUACCGUACUCGUAUCGCCAUGGCCCAUCAGCACUGGACUGGACUGGAAAGCUAACACAAGGACAGGGAGAUUCCUCAAAAACAAAAAAAAACAAGGACAGAGAGAUGAAGUGGAAAGAAACUCUGCUCGGAUGCUCCUGCAGAGACAUGACAAGGACUGUAACUUUGGGAUCUCGGAUUCGGCUUUUGCUAGAUGCUGCAGCACGUACGUGGCUUUCUACUCAUCUCAUUCUCAACUUCCUUUUUCCUGCGUCCUUGGGCCUUGGCUCGUCGCCUUUUCUCGGCAUGUGCACGUCCGUCCGCGACCCGUGGAUAUGGUAUGAUCAUAG
rnacentral:lncRNA from 1 species